rfam:Polaribacter sp. Hel1_85 PHEL85c, whole genome shotgun sequence.
AGAAAGGUGUCUGAGUGGUCGAAAGAGCUACCCUGGAAAGGUAGUGUGCUGGCAACGGUACCGAGGGUUCGAAUCCCUUCCUUUCUG